GGUGUGGCUCAGUGAAAGAGUUCUUGCCUGGUAUGCAUGAGAUCCUGGGUUUGAGUCCUAGUACC
rnacentral:tRNA from 1 species